AUAAGAGUUAAAUUUGCGAUAUUAGUUGGUUUUAAGCCAGUUUUGAUUGAUUAGUUCAAGUGUACAGAACUCUUGUUCCGAUCAAUUAUUUUAAUUAAAAAUUGAAUAAAGAAAAUAAAAUGUUGAUAAUAUUGGAGAUUGUACUUUUGUUGGGUUUGCUAUGUGCACUUCUCAUUAUUUUGAGCUUACAUCUUCUUCUGGCACCAACUGGGGUUUACCUGGAUAUCUGUGAUGGCGGAUCAUUAGUUUUUAUGGCGAAAAUCAAUCGUUUUCAUAAACACAUUCUCUAAGGAAUUCAGUCUGAUUCCUGGCCGUACACAGUGAAUUAAAUUAAACACAUGUAAUCACUAAAACUAGGUAACAAUAUCGGAACAUUUAACGAAAGGCUAAUUAAAUAAUCAGUGCUAAAACUAAUUCUUAGCUGCCAAUAAUCAGAAGUUCCAAAAUAUAAAGGAGAAAAAAACUGAUAUCUAAACGUCAUAGUUACUAUAGACUACCUAUUGGAUUAGAGCACAUCAAACUUAUUUUGGUUCUGAGCACUAUUCGGUCAUAGCUAUAUUGGAAUGAUAAGCUAAGCUAACAAUUUACUGUGAAAAUAAAAGGACGUUCAAAUGAAUCGUAUAAAGUUUCUAAA